rnacentral:rRNA from 1 species
CCUACGGGAGGCAGCAGUGGGGAAUAUUGCACAAUGGGGGAAACCCUGAUGCAGCGACGCCGCGUGAGUGAAGAAGUCCUUCUGUAUGUAAAGCUCUAUCAGCAGGGAAGAAAAUGACGGUACCUGUUUACUAAGCCCCGGCUCCAUACGUGCCAGCAGCCGCGGUCAUACGUAGGGGGCAAGCGUUAUCCGGAUUUACUGGGGGUAAAGGGAGCGUAGACGGGAGGACAAGUCUGGAGUGAAAUACCGGGGCUUAACCCCGGAACUGCUUUGGAAACUGUGCAGCUAGAGUGCAGGAGAGGUAAGUGGAAUUCGUAGUGUAGCGGUGAAAUGCGUAGAUAUUAGGAGGAACACCAGUGGCGAAGGCGGCUUACUGGACUGUAACUGACGUUGAGGCUCGAAAGCGUGGGGAGCAAACAGGAUUAGAUACCCCAGUAGUC